AUAUCUCUCCGUACGGGAAGGAUGAGAAGCUUCGACUAAGGUUCGAUUCGAGCGCAGCGAGAACGCGUUGCCGCAGGCAACGACCCG
rnacentral:sRNA from 4 species